rnacentral:rRNA from 1 species
CAAGACAACUUUACGGAGUUGACGAUUGACGGAGCGAAGCGACGUCAAAGCGUUCAUUAAAGUCGAGUUGGCUUAGGGAUACGUUCGUUGGGUAGGGGAGCGUUCUGUAAGCCUGUGAAGGUGUGUCGUGAGGCAUGCUGGAGGUAUCAGAAGUGCGAAUGCUGACAUAAGUAACGAUAAAGCGGGUGAAAAGCCCGCUCGCCGGAAGACCAAGGGUUCCUGUCCAACGUUAAUCGGGGCAGGGUGAGUCGACCCCUAAGGCGAGGCCGAAAGGCGUAGUCGAUGGGAAACGGGUUAAUAUUCCCGUACUUGGUGUUACUGCGAAGGGGGGACGGAGAAGGCUAUGUUGGCCGGGCGACGGUUGUCCCGGUUUAAGCGUGUAGGUGUGUGUUCCAGGUAAAUCCGGUUCACUUUAACACUGAGGCGUGACGACGAGGCACUACGGUGCUGAAGCAACAAAUGCCCUGCUUCCAGGAAAAGCCUCUAAGCAUCAGGUAACACGAAAUCGUACCCCAAACCGACACAGGUGGUCAGGUAGAGAAUACCAAGGCGCUUGAGAGAACUC